GGCUUGAUGGUGUAAUGGUAACGUGCUCCGUGUACCUAACGUUCUCAUAUCGGCUGAUGGAAGGUUCGGAGUUCGAUUCUCCGUCAAGCCA